rnacentral:lncRNA from 1 species
UUCUUAUGGAGAUCUGUGUUCAGUGUUGGGCCAGCAGUUGCUAAUUUGGCCCCCAACCACAACAAUCUAGAUUUUUGUGUGCUAUGGAAAUUUGAGACAUCUUCAUUUGGGUUUGUGGAUGCCAUCGAGCGGCAGAGCUGGAGCCAAAGCCAACCUUCAACGCAGCCAGAACCAUCAGAGAGUUUGCAGUCCCUAUUCUUCUACAAGAGAGAACAAGCCCAAGGUGAGUUCUCGAACUUGCAAACCCCACCCACCUCUAGUGUCAUUAUAUUCUCCAAAACUUUGACUAGCUUCCCAUCGAGUUCCUUGCCUUCUUCUCCAGCCGCCAGGCCCUUGAUCCUGCCUAUUCUCUGCAUUCAGGGUGUUCCAGCAAAGCUCUUGAUUGGCAAACCAGACUCAUUUGCACUUCUGCAGUGGUGGUGGUGGUCAAGAUGCAAUGAAAAGCUUUUUGAGUGUUCACCACGCCCUGGAAAAGGUGUGCUAGUCCUGUGUCUGGAGCUUGAUUCCAAGGACGAGAACAAUUGACUAGUAAAUUGACAAUUGAGAACAAUUGGAUAAACAUCAUGUUAUCAGGACCUAAUGGGACUAUUUCUGUGACAAUUGACUAGUAAAUUUUUUAUGGAAGCCUAACUUGUACAUCAUGAACAUUAAUGGCUGUUAGCACAAAGACUGAGUCCUACUUUAAAUUUUCCAUUAAAAAAAAGAUAGAGAAAUAAGAUUUUAAAAACUCACAACAGACUAUUUUUCCAAAUGUGACAAUUGACUAGUAAAUUUUUUAUGGAAGCUUACCUUGAACAUUAAUGGCUGUUAGCGCAUAAAUUUUCCAUAAACAAAAAAAACAGAAAUAAGACUCUCACAACCACCUUUCAAAAGAAGCCAACUGAAG